UACGUAGGUGGCAAGCGUUGUCCGGAAUUAUUGGGCGUAAAGCGCGCGCAGGCGGUCCUUUAAGUCUGAUGUGAAAGCCCACGGCUCAACCGUGGAGGGUCAUUGGAAACUGGGGGACUUGAGUACAGAAGAGAAGAGUGGAAUUCCACGUGUAGCGGUGAAAUGCGUAGAGAUGUGGAGGAACACCAGUGGCGAAGGCGACUCUUUGGUCUGGUAACUGACGCUGAGGCGCGAAAGCGUGGGGAGCAAACAG
rnacentral:rRNA from 1 species